CUGUGAUAUUUGUAUUAUGAUAGUGUUUAUGAUAGGCUUUACAUUGUACGUUGGAAUUUCAGAAUAUGUUGAUGAAGAAAUGUUGAUUCCUAAAAAUACCUCGGUGUUUAUUAGACGGGUUCCAGGGCGGUCAGGAUUACCAAUUGUUAGUGAACUACAGUACUUUCUCAAACCUUUGUAGACAAGAGGUGAAAUAUAAGGUGGUGGAAGCUGAACCUGAGAACAUUAGCUUAUCGGCAGAUGAUACAUCUACCAUUACAAAGUUAAGCUCAGUUUCGGUCAUUGUUGUCUCGGGUGAAACUGGUUGUGGUUAGACUACACAACAUCCUCAUGAGUGUACAUGGUCUGGAGUCAGGAUGUUAUUUUUGGACUCGAUGUCAAUCGGGAAGGAAGAGAAGUGGCUUGGGCGUGGUUUAAGGACUAAAACCAAAGAGCAUGCUUAUUUCAGGGAGUAAAUCAGAAUUAUCUUACUUAUUUUGCAACAAAAGAAGCUAUGUUGUUGUGUUAGUUAAGGCAAAUUGUGUGUCUGGAAAGAGUCUUGGAGUUAGCUGAGACGAAUAAGGUACGUACUAGAUGAUGUCAAGUAGUAGGGAUACUCAUUAGUGUUAUAAUUGCAUGAAGUCGGUCCCCCACCUGCAUCGCGGUCCUCCAUAGUCGCAAUUCCUAUUGUCAAGAUUGCGUCGAAGCAUCUUCGGUAGGUCCAUCGUGUCCGGUAUGCAAAGAUGACAUUGAGCUGGGGACUGAUGCAAAACAAAUGUCGUCUAGGCAUAUGCAUGUUUUUAAUACCAUUGGUCAUGAUAUAUUGAAUUUGGUUGGGUUUGUUAAUAUAUUAUUACUUGUGAUGAAGUUCAUCUUUGAAGUGAAGUUGGA